CUCUGUGACUCCUACGGGAGGCAGCAGUGGGGAAUAUUGCACAAUGGGGGAAACCCUGAUGCAGCCAUGCCGCGUGUGUGAAGAAGGCCUUCGGGUUGUAAAGCACUUUCAGUAGGGAGGAAGGUAGUGUAGUUAACACCUGCACUAUUUGAUGUUACCUACAGAAGAAGCACCGGCUAACUCCGUGCCAGCAGCCGCGGUAAUACGGAGGGUGCGAGCGUUAAUCGGAAUUACUGGGCGUAAAGCGCAUGCAGGCGGCCUGUUAAGUCAGAUGUGAAAGCCCCGGGGCUUAACCUCGGAAUUGCAUUUGAAACUGGCAGGCUAGAGUCUUGUAGAGGGGGUAGAAUUUCAGGUGUAGCGGUGAAAUGCGUAGAGAUCUGAAGGAAUACCAGUGGCGAAGGUGGCCCCCUGGACAAAGACUGACGCUCAGAUGCGAAAGCGUGGGGAGCAAACAGGAUUAGAUACCCUGGUAG
rnacentral:rRNA from 1 species